rnacentral:rRNA from 1 species
GAUGAACGCUGGCGGCGUGCCUAAUACAUGCAAGUCGAGCGAACGGACGAGAAGCUUUCUUCUCUGAUGUUAGCGGCGGACGGGUGAGUAACACGUGGAUAACCUACCUAUAAGACUGGGAUAACUUCGGGAAACCGGAGCUAAUACCGGAUAAUAUUUUGAACCGCAUGGUUAAAAAGUGAAAGACGGUCUUGCUGUCACUUAUAGAUGGAUCCGCGCUGCAUUAGCUAGUUGGUAAGGUAACGGCUUACCAAGGCAACGAUGCAUAGCCGACCUGAGAGGGUGAUCGGCCACACUGGAACUGAGACACGGUCCAGACUCCUACGGGAGGCAGCAGUAGGGAAUCUUCCGCAAUGGGCGAAAGCCUGACGGAGCAACGCCGCGUGAGUGAUGAAGGUCUUCGGAUCGUAAAACUCUGUUAUUAGGGAAGAACAUAUGUGUAAGUAACUGUGCACAUCUUGACGGUACCUAAUCAGAAAGCCACGGCUAACUACGUG